GGAUUAGAUACCCUGGUAGUCCACGCCGUAAACGAUGAGUGCUAGAUAUCGGGAGAUUAUCUUUCGGUUUCGCAGCUAACGCAUUAAGCACUCCGCCUGGGGAGUACGGCCGCAAGGUUAAAACUCAAAGGAAUUGACGGGGGCUCGCACAAGCGGUGGAGCAUGCGGUUUAAUUCGAUGUUACGCGAAAAACCUUACCAACCUUUGACAUGGUGGUCGCGGAUCGCAGAGAUGCUUUCCUUCAGUUCGGCUGGACCACACACAGGUGUUGCAUGGCUGUCGUCAGCUCGUGCCG
rnacentral:rRNA from 1 species